rnacentral:rRNA from 1 species
UACGGAGGGUGCAAGCGUUAAUCGGAUUUAUUGGGCGUAAAGGGCGCGUAGGCUGGCGAAUAAGUCAGAUGUGAAAUCCUGAGGCUUAACCUCAGAGCUGCAUUUGAAACUAUUUGUCUAGAGGGUAGGCGGAGAAAACGGAAUUCCACAAGUAGCGGUGAAAUGCGUAGAUAUGUGGAAGAACACCGGUGGCGAAGGCGGUUUUCUAGCUUACUCCUGACGCUGAGGCGCGAAAGCGUGGGGAGCAAACAGG